UGAGUAACCUGCCCUUAACUCUGGGAUAAGCCUGGGAAACUGGGUCUAAUACCGGAUAUGACUCCUCAUCGCAUGGUGGGGGUGGAAAGCUUUUUUGUGGUUUUGGAUGGACUCGCGGCCUAUCAGCUUGUUGGUGAGGUAAUGGCUCACCAAGGCGACGACGGGUAGCCGGCCUGAGAGGGUGACCGGCCACACUAGGACUGACGACACGGCCCAGACUCCUACGGGAGGCAG
rnacentral:rRNA from 1 species